ACAAUCCCGGUAGGAUUCCCUACGGACCCGGUCCGUCCACCAUCUCCCAGGAUAUCUAGUCAGGUUGACCACAUUAUACAAUUACCCAUUUACAUAAUCUUUCCUUCUCUUUUUCUUCAGUCAGCAUUAUCAAUCACAUACAAACAAGCAAAACGGUAAUUUAUGUUAAACAGACAACAUACAGCAUCAAUAUCCCAGUCAUUCAAUCCAUAAUCAAUAAAACAGUAAAAUAUGCACACGAAACUAUAAAAUGAAAACAUCAAAUCUCAUACUGCAUUUAAAACUGUAAACAGGCCAAAUAACAGUUAACCGACAAACACACUAGACUCGGGCACCAUUAGCGACCUUAAGCAAUUUCACACAUUCGUUGAUUCAUGAAAUACCGUUUUAUCAUUUAUUGAACUUUAAGACCGUGAUAGGAAAUAGGGUGAGGGGUCCUUACACGUUUCGGGGUCCGAACACGGCUUCACAGUGUGCCUACAGGCUGUCCCUAAUUUUCCCUGAAUUUUUCCCGGGGAACUGAAACGCACUACUAGUACCUGCACGUGUUCCAAAAAAUCUCAAAUUAGGCCCAGGGCCCCUUUCGGCCAAUAUCGCAACUCCGGCACGGCGGCUCCGCCGUGCUC
rnacentral:lncRNA from 1 species